GCUGAAUGGAUAGCUCAGUUGGUAGAGCAUGAGACUCUUAAUCUCAGGGUCAUGAGUUUGAGCCCUACCUUGGGCA